UUCGGUCACACCACAUAAAACACCGGUUCCCGUAUGAUCUCUGAAGUUAAGCAGCACCGAGUUUGGCCAGUACCUAGAUGGGUGACCGUUUGGAGUACCAGAU